rnacentral:rRNA from 1 species
GACGUAGGGGACGAGCGUUGUCCGGAUUCAUUGGGCGUAAAGAGCGUGUAGGCGGCCAGGUAGGUCGGUUGUGAAAACUGGAGGCUCAACCUUCAGAGGUCGACCGAAACCAUCUGGCUAGAGUCCGGGAGAGGAGAGUGGAAUUCCUGGUGUAGCGGUGAAAUGCGCAGAUAUCAGGAGGAACACCGGUGGCGAAGGCGGGUCUCUGGGCCGAUACUGACGCUGAGGAGCGAAAGCGUGGGGAGCAAACAGG